CGUUAAAACUCAAAUGAAUUGACGGGGGCCGCACAAGCGGUGGAGCAUGUGGUUUAAUUCGAUGCAACGCGAAGAACCUUACCUACUCUUGACAUCCAGAGAACUUAGCAGAGAUGCUUUGGUGCCUUCGGGAACUCUGAGACAGGUGCUGCAUGGCUGUCGUCAGCUCGUGUUGUGAAAUGUUGGGUUAAGUCCCGCAACGAGCGCAACCCUUAUCCUUUGUUGCCAGCGGUUAGGCCGGGAACUCAAAGGAGACUGCCAGUGAUAAACUGGAGGAAGGUGGGGAUGACGUCAAGUCAUCAUGGCCCUUACGAGUAGGGCUACACACGUGCUACAAUGGCGCAUACAAAGAGAAGCGACCUCGCGAGAGCAAGCGGACCUCAUAAAGUGCGUCGUAGUCCGGAUUGGAGUCUGCAACUCGACUCCAUGAAGUCGGAAUCGCUAGUAAUCGUAGAUCAGAAUGCUACGGUGAAUACGUUCCCGGGCCUUGUACACACCGCCCGUCACACCAUGGGAGUGGGUUGCAAAAGAAGUAGGUAGCUUAACCUUCGGGAGGGCGCUUACCACUUUGUGAUUCAUGACUGGGGUGAAGUCGUAACAAGGUAACCAAGGGCGAAUUCCAG
rnacentral:rRNA from 1 species